UGUGUGUGUGUGUGAUGUUUGGCCAUGAGGGAGCCUAGAGACAGAGCCCCCACAAUCUCCCCUGCGAGAACCUAGGAGGCUGCAGGUGAGCCCCAGGACAGGUGACUAGAAGGUGAGGCCCUGGCAGAGGAGACUUAAGGGUGACUUCUGGGUUGCUGGGGGAGAAGGAAAUGCCAAGCCAAGAAUUCUCCUGGAGGAAGCAGAACGGAGGUAAGGAACAGAGUGGAAGAGAACCAAAGGGGUGCACAAAGGUGACCUGUGGUGGAUGUGCUAGACAAAAUGUUUAGAGAAUGAGACAAGAGUUGACAUCAAGGUGACAUCAAUCUCUAAGAUUGUCAUUCAUUUGGACUGGAGUGAGACUGGAUGUGAACAUUUUUUUUUUCAAGAUCCAAAUGAGCGUAAACAUGUGCAGCCAAGAUUGAGAACUAAAGUGGAAAAUCUAACCUAAUCCAGACAAGACCAAAAUCCAUCCCAACCAGUCCCUUUAGCACAGAUGAAAUGCUCAAAAAAUUUCAGACAAUCGUGUGCCUUUAAAGGAUCUAACAGCAAGAAUUAGGAGUGCCCUGGAGGCAAGGUAAAAUUUGGCCCAUGUAAUCAAUCAUAUCUGCUUCACUGAACUGUAAUGACCCUGAAUACAGAAGACAUCUUCAGUGGGACAGACUCACUGCCAUGAAGUCCUUAACAUUUUGUGGGUUAGAAAGCAGUUUUUACAUUUAGAUUCUGCCUUAUUUAGUCAUAGUCUACUCUUCUCCUCUUAGGCAUAGGUGAGUUUAUUGGUGUGUAGUUAUGAUAGUAGAUCAAAAUAUAAA